rnacentral:lncRNA from 1 species
GAUCAAAAUCAGUCUUAAAACUGCAAACCCGAAGUUCAAAAAACUCUUGAAUUUAAACAAAUCACAGAAGUUGUUCUGUUUCCAUCGAGAAACACACAAACUCAAUUUGAAUAUAAUUCAAUUUGAAACGUGUAUCAAGUAGAGUGAGCUUUUCCUCCACAGACCCAACACCCAAAUAGUUAUAUUUCCAUAGAAAAUUAAAAAUUUCAGCUCAAAAAGGUUAUAUUUUGAACGCAGUGAGAUCCGAGAGAAGAAGAAGUCAGACAUGAUUCAAAGAACAAGAAAUUAAAAAACAGACCUUUAUCUAGUAAUCUCUUGAAUUCGGUGUCUCAUUGAUGUUCUUGGGACCAUGGGUAUCCAUAAUAAUAAUUUCCGAAUUCUUUCAGAAACGCUUCCAUCUCGACGACUAUCAAAGAAUAAUAGAUUAACAUAUCUCUCUCUGAUAAUCUCAGAAAAAUCGCCGGAGGGAAGAAAGACUGGUCGUCUCCGGCUAUUUUUAAAAAGUAUAGUUUCCUUUUUUCACCUAAUUAUAUUUUUUUUUUUGUCA